CCCGCACAAGCGGUGGAGCAUGUGGUUUAAUUCGACGCAAUGCGAAGAACCUUACCAGGGCUUGACAUCCCCUGACCGCGUAUGAAAGUACGUUUUCACCCUCGGGUGACAGGGAGACAGGUGGUGCAUGGUUGUCGUCAGCUCGUGUCGUGAGAUGUUGGGUUAAGUCCCGCAACGAGCGCAACCCCUACGUUUAGUUGCUAACAGGUGAAGCUGAGCACUCUAGACGAACUGCCGUUGACAAAACGGAGGAAGUGGGGAUGACGUCAAAUCAUCAUGCCCCUUAUGUUCUGGGCUACACACGUGCUACAAUGGCCGGUACAGACGGACGCAAAGCCGCGAGGUGGAGCAAAUCCUAAAAAGCCGGUCUCAGUUCGGAUUGCAGGCUGCAAUUCGCCUGCAUGAAGUCGGAAUCGCUAGUAAUCGCAGGUCAGCAUACUGCGGUGAAUACGUUCCCGGGCCUU
rnacentral:rRNA from 1 species